rnacentral:rRNA from 1 species
GACGAACGCUGGCGGCGUGCUUAACACAUGCAAGUCGAACGGAAAGGCCUCUUUCGGGGGGUACUCGAGUGGCGAACGGGAGAGUAACACGUGAGUAACCUGCCCUUGACUUUGGGAUAACUUGAGGAAACUGGGGCUAAUAGCGGAUAGGCGCUCCUUCUGCGGGGGGGGGGUUGGAAAGUUGCGGCGGUUGGGGAUGGACUCGCGGCCUAUCAGCUUGUUGGUGGGGUAGUGGCUUACCAAGGCUUUGACGGGUAGCCGGCCUGAGAGGGUGACCGGCCACAUUGGGACUGAGAUACGGCCCAGACUCCUACGGGAGGCAGCAGUGGGGAAUAUUGCACAAUGGGUGCAAGCCUGAUGCAGCAACGCCGCGUGCGGGAGGACGGCCUUCGGGUUGUAAACCGCUUUCACCAGUGACGAAGCUUUGUGUGACGGUACCUGCAGAAGAAGCACCGGCUAACUACGUG